UCCAACGGUUGAUUGUGAAUGCGCCGUUUUUCCGCGCUCAAAUAAUGCCACGCAGUUGGAUGCUCCUCAGUGGGUUGGCUACACACUGACACGCUUCUCUCUCUCUUUCUCUCUCUUCAUUGACUUCAUUGCCGUGUGGAAGCAUACAAUGUGAAAACAUUUUCUUUUGCGAUUUAUUAUUGACUUGAACCGGCUUUUUGUGGUUUCGUACUUGUGCAAGUAUGCACAUACGUAUGUAUGUAUGUAUGCACGUUCAUUAUUUGGUUUACGUUGUGCUUGUAAAGCUUUAAAGUGUAUUUAUUUAAGGUGAGGCGGCAUCCCUGCCACUCUCUCUCGCUCUGUAUUUGCUCUGAGAUGCUUACAUAUGUAUGUACUUAAUAGUUUUGCAGCUUCACAAAAGUCUGAAGUGUUACGGAAGGGAGGGUUCUAUCGGAAUUCCUUUUCUUUUAUGAACCAUACCUUGGAAAUGUCUGCAUCUCAUUCUCUCUUUCUCUCACUGCGCACAUUUACAUUUAACCCGCCACCAUCUGUUUUUGCCAUCUCUCUCGUUCUCUCUUUUUGCAUUGGCUGACGUAAUUUUACGCUGUUUUGCCGCAUGGUGCACAUUUUUAUGAAUGGGAAGACCUGUCCCAUGGCAACAACAACAGUAGAAGCAGCAUAAGCAACCAGAACAACAGCUUAUGGUGACUCUCAAAAUCUGGCAGCACUGGUACCCAGUGUGCCCGCAGCGCAACACCAAUGGCCACAUUACCAGCUGAAUUUUGUGUAUAAAGCAGCGACGAGAAAGCCAUAAUCGGCCCGCCGUCGGCGGGUGCAGACAACAGCCAACCUCCGCAACCAGACUUCUCGGAGCGUAAUUUAACCUCCGCAACGAAUCUUCUCGGAUCGUAAUUGAACCUCCGCAACAAAUCUCGGAGGGUAAUUGAACCUCCGCAACGAAUCUUCUCGGAGCGUACUUAAACCUCUGCAACGGCAUUGGAUUUGCAAUUGGGUGUUCCUUGUUGGCAUUCUGCAUAUCUACUGGAAGUCUGCGAGGUGUUUUACCUUGCCGCGGCCCGGGAGGAGCUUUACUUUCCCGCGGCGCUUGCUUAAUACACCUCCGCUUUUCCACUUCAAUGGGCGUGAAUGAAUAGCCUUUUUCUGCCUCAUAUACGCAGUGCGCUCCGGUCCCAGCGCGCUAUCGCGCGCGAGCGCAGGGACGCUCGGGAGAUAUACGAUCUACCCGGCGCUCAAGCCAACAUAGAUCAUAAGGCUUAGCUUAGUUACGAUUCCACCCCC